UCAAUCUUCUUAAACAUACUAUGUUAAUUAUCAUGAUUAGUCAAAGAAAAAAUGCUCUGUUACACAGUGAAUCAGGCUUAGGGGUGGACGUGGUUCUCUGCAAGUAUGCGGUAAUCGAAAAAAUACUAAACUUGAAGCCAUGGUACUUUCACUCAACACAGCAGGUUUGCCUUAGGUAGUUAAUAAAGGGACAUUCUUUUUUUAAAAUUUUAUUAUUAUUAUACUUUAAGUUUUAGGGUACAUGUGCACAACGUGCAGGUUUGUUACAUAUGUAUACCUGUAUCAUGUUGGUGUGCUGCACCCAUUAACUCGUCAUUUAGCAUUAGGUAUAUCUCCUAAUGCUAUCCCUCCCCACUCCCCCAACCCCACAACAGUCCCCGGUGUGUGAUGUUCCCCUUCC
rnacentral:lncRNA from 1 species